ACGGAGGGGGCUAGCGUUGUUCGGAAUUACUGGGCGUAAAGCGCACGUAGGCGGCUUGAUAAGUUAGAGGUGAAAGCCCGGGGCUCAACUCCGGAAUUGCCUUUAAGACUGUCUCGCUUGAACGUCGGAGAGGUGAGUGGAAUUCCGAGUGUAGAGGUGAAAUUCGUAGAUAUUCGGAAGAACACCAGUGGCGAAGGCGGCUCACUGGACGACUGUUGACGCUGAGGUGCGAAAGCGUGGGGAGCAAACAGGA
rnacentral:rRNA from 1 species